AAUGGGGUGUCGAAUGAACGGUUAUAUUCCAACGAUGGUACUAAAGAUGAGCAAUUUGGUCCAUCGGUCUGCCUGACCGCGAAUAUAAGUCUUCCGUCACUGUACCAGGUAGAAUGACAAAUAAGGUGUCGAAUGAAAGCUUAUAACCAAGGAUGGUACUAAGGUUGAGAAAUUUGACCAAGGCUGUCUGUCCAUCGGUCCGUCCGACCGCGAAUGUAACUACUCCGUCAAUAUGCCAGGUAGAUUGACAAAUGGGGUGUCGAAUGAACGGUUAUAACCCAACGAUGGUACUAAAGAUGAGCAAUUUGGUCCAUCUGUCUGCUUGACCGCGAAUAUAACUCCCCCGUCACUGUACCAGGUAGAAUGACAAAUAAGGUGUCCAGUGAAAGCUUAUAACCAAGGAUGGUACUAAAGAUGAGAAAUUUGACCAAGGCUGUCUGUUCAUCUGUACGUCCCACCGCGAAUGUAACGACUCCGUCAUUAUGCCAGGAUUAAUGACAAAUGGGGUGUCGAAUGAACGAUUAUAAUUCAACAAUGGUACUAAAGAUGAGCAAUUUGGUCCGUCGGUCUGCUUGACCGCGGAUAUAACUCCCCCGUCACUGUACCAGGUAGAAUGACAAAUGAGGUGUCGAAUGCAAGCUUAUAAUCCAAAGAUGGUACUAAAGAUGAGAAAUUAGACCAAGGAUGUCUGUCCAUCGGUCCGUCCGACCGCGAAUGUAACUACUCCGUCAUUAUGCCAGGUAGAUUGACAAAUGGGGUGUCGAAUGAACGGUUAUAUUCCAACGAUGGUACUAAAGAUGAGCAAUUUGGUCCGUUGGUCUGCCUGACCGCGAAUAUAAGUCUUCCGUCACUGUACCAGGUCGAAUGACAAAUAAGGUGUCGAAUGAAAGCUUAUAACCAAGGAUGGUACUAAGGUUGAGAAAUUUGACCAAGGCUGUCUGUCCAUCGGUCCGUCCGACCGCGAAUGUAACUACUCCGUCAAUAUGCCAGGUAGAAUGACAAAUGAGGUGUCGAAUGAAUGGUUAUAAUCCAACGAUGGUACUAAAGAUGAGAAAUUUGAUCCGUCGGUGUGCCUGACCGCGAAUAUAACUCCUCCGUCACUGUACCAGGUAGAAUGACAAAUGAGGUGUCAAAUGAAAGCUUAUAAUCCAAGGAUGGUACUAAAGAUGAGAAAUUAGACCAAGGCUGUCUGUCCAUCGGUCCGUCCGACCGCGAAUGUAACUACUCCGUCAUUAUGCCAGGCAGAAUGACAGAUGAGGUGACGAGUGUACAGUGAACGGUUAUAAUCCAACCAUGGUACUAAAGAUUCACUCACGCAUUUCGUUUCCGAAAG